rnacentral:tRNA from 1 species
GGUGGCUCAGUGGUAGAGCACUUGCCUUGCACUUGCAUGCAUGAGGCCCUGGGUUCGAUUCCUCAGCACCA